AACGAACGCUGGCGGCAGGCUUAACACAUGCAAGUCGAACGCCCGUAGCAAUACGGGAGUGGCAGACGGGUGAGUAACGCGUGGGAACAUGCCCUUUGGUUCGGAAUAACUCAGGGAAACUUGAGCUAAUACCGGAUAAGCCCGAGAGGGGAAAGAUUUAUCGCCGAAGGAUUGGCCCGCGUCCGAUUAGCUAGUUGGUGAGGUAAUGGCUCACCAAGGCGACGAUCGGUAGCUGGUCUGAGAGGAUGAUCAGCCACACUGGGACUGAGACACGGCCCAGACUCCUACGGGAGGCAGCAGUGGGGAAUAUUGGACAAUGGGGGCAACCCUGAUGCAGCCAUGCCGCGUGAGUGAUGAAGGCCCUAGGGUUGUAAAGCUCUUUCGGCGGGGACGAUAAUGACGGUACCCGCAGAAGAAGCCCCGGCUAACUUCGUGCCAGCAGCCGCAGUAAGAC
rnacentral:rRNA from 1 species